AUGGCGCGCAGCCGCUGGCACUCGCCCUCCAGCUGCGCGAUCUUCUUGAGGCUCUCCGCCUGCUGCGCGCGGGCGGCGUCCACGGACCUGAGGUCGUACUCCCGCUCCUGGCUCCUCACCUCCAGCUCCUUCUGGAGCAUGCGCGCCUCGUACUGCAGCGACGCGCUCUGCUUCUGCGCCGCGUCCAGCUUCGCCGCCGCGCCGGAGAGCUCCUGGUCGGAGGCCGCCUUGGACUCCCUGAGCUCCCUGACAAGCUUGUCCUUGGCGUCCAUGGCCUUGCAGAGGCUGUUGUUCUCGGCAGCCAGCUUCGCGGCCUUCUUGUUCGCGGCUUCGAGGCUGUGCUGCAGAUCACGCAGCUUCUUUUGCUGGGAGGAUAUCUCGCUCGCUGCUUCCACGAUGAUUUGAUCCCGCUCUUCUCUGGCGACGAGCAGCUGCUCCAUGCAGGAUCUCAGAGCAUCUUCCAUUUCAGCCAUUGUUACUGUAUGCUUUCUUAGUACACCUUCUCUUGAGAGGAAUCACCAGGUACUCUUCAUGAGAGCAAAGUUCUUAGCUAAUCACUCUUCUCAACCUGGCAAUGGGGUAACUUAG
rnacentral:rRNA from 1 species